rnacentral:snoRNA from 1 species
CCAAAAAAUGCACUGCAUAUGCGUGUUUUAUUUGCUAAGAUCACGCUUCGGUGUGUUCUUGCAUUACCAUUGAAUGCUACGCUGUGUAGCGUUGGACGUGCUGGCGCGAAAAUGUGUUGUCAUUCGCGCUUUACAGACCGUAAUUUAGGCACGCCCUUCGUUCACGUGCGAUAGCUGAAUGCCUCGCCAAUAGGCAUUUGCAAUUGAACAU